rnacentral:rRNA from 1 species
UACGGGGGGAGCAAGCGUUGUUCGGAAUCACUGGGCGUAAAGGGCGUGUAGGCGGUUCGGUAAGUGGGAUGUGAAAUGCCCCGGCUCACCCGGGGACCUGCAUCCCAAACUGCUGAGCUUGAGUACAGGAGAGGGAUGUGGAAUUCCAGGUGUAGCGGUGAAAUGCGUAGAUAUCUGGAGGAAUACCGGUGGCGAAGGCGGCAUCCUGGACCGACAUUGACGCUGAUGAGCGAAAGCUAGGGGAGCAAACGGG